UAGACACAUCUCAUCGUCUGA
rnacentral:piRNA from 1 species